GAUGAACGCUGACAGAAUGCUUAACACAUGCAAGUCUACUUGAAUUAUGGUUUCGGCUGUAAUGAAGGUGGCGGACGGGUGAGUAACGCGUAAAGAAUCUGCCUUUUAGUCUGGGAUAACAGUUGGAAACGACUGCUAAUACCGGAUAUUAUGGAACUGUCGCAUGACAGUACUAUGAAAGCUAUAUGCGCUAGAAGAGGACUUUGCGUCCCAUUAGCUAGUUGGUGAGGUAACGGCUCACCAAGGCGACGAUGGGUAGCCGGCCUGAGAGGGUGAUCGGCCACAAGGGAACUGAGACACGGUCCUUACUCCUACGGGAGGCAGCAGUGGGGAAUAUUGGACAAUGGGCCACAAGCCUGAUCCAGCAAUUCUGUGUGCACGAUGAAGGUCUUCGGAUUGUAAAGUGCUUUCAGUUAGGGAAGAAAAAAAUAGACGGUACCUACAGAAGAAGCGACGGCUAAAUAUGUGCCAGCAGCCGCGGUAA
rnacentral:rRNA from 1 species